rnacentral:tRNA from 1 species
AGCCCCGUAGCUCAGUGGAUAGAGCAGCGGUUUCCUAAACCGUGUGCCGCGAGUUCGACUCUCGCCGGGGCUACCA